rnacentral:rRNA from 1 species
AACGAACGCUGGCGGCAUGCCUAACACAUGCAAGUCGAACGAGACCUUCGGGUCUAGUGGCGCACGGGUGCGUAACGCGUGGGAACCUGCCCUUAGGUUCGGAAUAACUCCCCGAAAGGGGUGCUAAUACCGGAUAAUGUCUUCGGACCAAAGAUUUAUCGCCUUUGGAUGGGCCCGCGUUGGAUUAGCUAGUUGGUAGGGUAAAAGCCUACCAAGGCGACGAUCCAUAGCUGGUCUGAGAGGAUGAUCAGCCACACUGGGACUGAGACACGGCCCAGACUCUUACGGAAGCAAGCAUUGGGAAAUAUUGAACAUGGGGCGAAAGCCUGUCCCAGCAUUGCCGCUUGAGUGAUGAAGGCCUUAGGGUUUUAAAGCUCUUUUACCCGGGAUGAUAAUGACAGUACCGGGAGAAUAAGCUCCGGCAAACUCCUG